GACGAACGCUGGCGGCGUGCCUAAUACAUGCAAGUUGAGCGCUGAAGGUUGGUACUUGUACCAACUGGAUGAGCAGCGAACGGGUGAGUAACGCGUGGGGAAUCUGCCUUUGAGCGGGGGACAACAUUUGGAAACGAAUGCUAAUACCGCAUAAAAACUUUAAACACAAGUUUUAAGUUUGAAAGAUGCAAUUGCAUCACUCAAAGAUGAUCCCGCGUUGUAUUAGCUAGUUGGUGAGGUAAAGGCUCACCAAGGCGAUGAUACAUAGCCGACCUGAGAGGGUGAGCGGCCGCAUUGGGACGGAGACACGGCCCAAACUCCUACGGGAGGCAGCAGUAGGGAAUCUUCGGCAAUGGACGAAAGUCUGACCGAGCAACGCCGCGUGAGUGAAGAAGGUUGUCGGAUCGUAAAACUCUGUUGGUAGAGAAGAACGUUGGUGAGAGUGGAAAGCUCAGCAAGUGACGGUAACUACCCAGAAAGGGACGGCUAACUACGUG
rnacentral:rRNA from 1 species